rnacentral:rRNA from 1 species
UACGUAGGGUGCGAGCGUUAAUCGGAAUUACUGGGCGUAAAGCGUGCGCAGGCGGUUUUGUAAGCCAGAUGUGAAAUCCCCGGGCUUAACCUGGGAAUGGCAUUUGGGACUGCAAGGCUUGAGUGCGGCAGAGGAGACUGGAAUUCCUGGUGUAGCAGUGAAAUGCGUAGAUAUCAGGAGGAACACCGAUGGCGAAGGCAGGUCACUGGGCCGCAACUGACGCUGAGGAGCGAAAGCAUGGGGAGCGAACAGG